AUACGGAGGAUCCGAGCGUUAUCCGGAUUUAUUGGGUUUAAAGGGUGCGCAGGCGGCCAUUUAAGUCAGCGGUUAAAUCGUGGGGCUCAACCCCGGAAGUGCCGUUGAUACUGCAUGGCUGGAAUGCGGUCGAGGCGGGCGGGACGGGGCGGGUAGCGGGGGAAUGCGUAGAUAUGCCGCAGAACGCCGAUAGCGGAGGCAGCUCGCCAGGCCUGCAUUGACGCUCGGGCACGAAAGCGUGGGGAUCGAACAGGAUUAGAUACCCUGGUAGUCCGCACAGUAAACGAUGGACACCCGCGGUUUGGCCUAUAUGGCUGAGCCGCCAAGCGAAAGCGUUAAGUGUCCCACCUGGGGAGUACGCCGGCAACGGUGAAACUCAAAUGAAUUGGCGGGG
rnacentral:rRNA from 1 species